ACCUGGGUGGCUCAGUUGGUUAAGCACCUGACUUCAGCUCAGGUCAUGAUCUCGCGGUCCGUGAGUUCAAGCCCCCCCCAUGUU
rnacentral:tRNA from 1 species